rnacentral:rRNA from 1 species
CGUGUAGGCGGACUAGCAAGUCAGAGGUGAAAACCGCAGGCUCAACCUGCGGCCUGCCUUUGAAACUGUUAGUCUUGAGUACGGGAGAGGAAAGCGGAAUUCCAGGUGUAGCGGUGACAUGCGUAGAUAUCUGGAAGAACAUCGGUGGCGAAGGCGGCUUUCUGGACCGAUACUGACGCUGAGGCGCGAAAGCCAGGGGAGCAAACAGGAUUAGAUACCCUGGUAGUCC